UACAGAGACUGCAAGCGUUAUUUCGGAGUUCUACUGGGCGUAAAGGGUGCGCAGGCGGCCGGGUGUGUCAGAUGUGAAAUCCCGAGGCUCAACCUCGGAACUGCGUCUGAAACUACUCGGCUAGAGUACUGGAGAGGGUAACGGAAUUCACGGUGUAGCAGUGAAAUGCGUAGAUAUCGUGAGGAACACCAGAGGCGAAGGCGGUUACCUGGACAGUUACUGACGCUCAGGCACGAAAGCAUGGGGAGCAAAAGGG
rnacentral:rRNA from 1 species